CAACAGAAGUGAAAGCGGAUUUUGGCGGCCACAGGAGAAAAAUACCUUGAGUGCCCGCUGGACAAUACUGCUGACUUUCUACA